GAACCCAUUGCGAUCACUAAGAUUCCAUUUCCCAGAGUCCCUCGGAACAGGUCUGCGCUGUUCACCGCCCCUCAGCGCCAGUGCGGACCGCAGCGUUUCGGAGCCAGGCGGCGUUUGGAGGCUCCGUGGGAUCAGCUCUGCUUUCUCAAAGUGUGGGCCUUCUUCCAGAAAAGAGGCAAGAGGGGAAAGGAAGGAUGGCUUCUGUGCUCCUGGCAGCAGUGAGGUCCCAGAAGUCGUUGACAUUUAAGGAUGUGGCUGUGGACUUUACCAAGGAGGAAUGGAGGCAACUGAACCCUUCUCAGAGAGAUAUGUACAGGGAUGUGAUGCUGGAGAACUAUAAGAACCUAGUCUUCCUGGGUAAGGCCGUGUCCCCCUGGAAACCAGUCCCUGGGGGCUAAAUUUAGGCUGUGGAAUAUCUGAAUCACUCAGCUGAGUUUUAGUUUGGUUUUCAGGGUGGUUCAAGAACCCAUGUCAUAGAAGGAAUUGCUUGAAUUCUUUAGGGCAAACAAAACAUUUCUAUUCUCUCUUCACUAGUGAAGACUUUAAAACACAACAAUCUGGGAAGCCUGUGUCUCCACAGUGCAUCCCAUCAGGCA